rnacentral:rRNA from 1 species
ACACAUGCAAGUCGAGGGGCAGCACAGGUAGCAAUACCGGGUGGCGACCGGCGCACGGGUGAGUAACGCGUAUGCAACUUGCCUAUCAGAGGGGGAUAACCCGGCGAAAGUCGGACUAAUACCGCAUGAAGCAGGGAUCCCGCAUGGGAAUAUUUGCUAAAGAUUCAUCGCUGAUAGAUAGGCAUGCGUUCCAUUAGGCAGUUGGCGGGGUAACGGCCCACCAAACCGACGAUGGAUAGGGGUUCUGAGAGGAAGGUCCCCCACAUUGGUACUGAGACACGGACCAAACUCCUACGGGAGGCAGCAGUGAGGAAUAUUGGUCAAUGGGCGCGAGCCUGAACCAGCCAAGUCGCGUGAGGGAUGAAGGUUCUAUGGAUCGUAAACCUCUUUUAUAAGGGAAUAAAGUGCGGGACGUGUCCCGUUUUGUAUGUACCUUAUGAAUAAGGAUCGGCUAACUCCGUGCCAGCAGCCGCGGUAAUACGGAGGAUCCGAGCGUUAUCCGGAUUUAUUGGGUUUAAAGGGUGCGUAGGCGGCCUUUUAAGUCAGCGGUGAAAGUCUGUGGCUCAACCAUAGAAUUGCCGUUGAAACUGGGGGGCUUGAGUAUGUUUGAGGCAGGCGGAAUGCGUGGUGUAGCGGUGAAAUGCAUAGAUAUCACGCAGAACCCCGAUUGCGAAGGCAGCCUGCCAAGCCAUUACUGACGCUGAUGCACGAAAGCGUGGGGAUCAAACAGGAUUAGAUACCCUGGUAGUCCACGCAGUAAACGAUGAUCACUAGCUGUUUGCGAUACACUGCAAGCGGCACAGCGAAAGCGUUAAGUGAUCCACCUGGGGAGUACGCCGGCAACGGUGAAACUCAAAGGAAUUGACGGGGG